AAUGAACGCUGGCGGCAGGCCUAACACAUGCAAGUCGAACGGAUCCUUCGGGAUUAGUGGCGGACGGGUGAGUAACGCGUGGGAACAUACCCUUUGGUACGGAAUAGCCUCGGGAAACUGGGAGUAAUACCGUAUGUGGUCGAGAGACGAAAGAUUUAUCGCCAAAGGAUUGGCCCGCGUUGGAUUAGGUAGUUGGUAGGGUAAUGGCCUACCAAGCCGACGAUCCAUAGCGGGUGUGAGAGGAUGAUCAGCCACACUGGGACUGAGACACGGCCCAGACUCCUACGGGAGGCAGCAGUGGGGAAUCUUAGACAAUGGGGGAAACCCUGAUCUAGCCAUGCCGCGUGAUCGAUGAAGGCCUUAGGGCUGUAAAGAUCUUUCAGGUGGGAAGAUAAUGACUGUACCACCAGAAGAAGCCCCGGCUAACUCUGUGCCAGCCGCCGCGGUAA
rnacentral:rRNA from 1 species